GGCAAGGUGGCCGAGUGGUUUAAGGCGUCAGAUUUAAGCAGGCUAUCGACUAAACGAUGGCACUUUAGGUCCCUGAUCCGUAAGGAACGCGGGUUCGAAUCCCGUCCUUGUCA